UACAGAGGGUGCAAACGUUGCUCGGAAUUAUUGGGCGUAAAGCGCGUGUAGGCGGCUUGUUAAGUCGGUUGUGAAAACCCAUGGCUCAACCAUGGAAGCGCGUCCGAAACUGGCAAGCUGGAGUCCCGACGAGGGUGGCGGAAUUCCCAGUGUAGAGGUGAAAUUCGUAGAUAUUGGGAGGAACAUCGGUGGCGAAGGCGGCCCACUGGCUCGAUACUGACGCUGAGGUGCGAAAGCGUGGGGAGCAAACAGG
rnacentral:rRNA from 1 species